rnacentral:rRNA from 1 species
AAGAGACAGCAGCCGCCACGGUAAUACGUAGGGUGCAAGCGUUAAUCGGAAUUACUGGGCGUAAAGCGUGCGCAGGCGGUUUGUUAAGACAGAUGUGAAAUCCCCGGGCUCAACCUGGGAACUGCAUUUGUGACUGGCAAGCUAGAGUAUGGCAGAGGGGGGUGGAAUUCCGCGUGUAGCAGUGAAUGCGUAGAUAUGCGGAGGAACACCGAUGGCGAAGGCAGCCCCCUGGGCCAAUACUGACGCUCAUGCACGAAAGCGUGGGGAGCAAACAGGAUUAGAUACCCCAGUAGUCCCUGUCUCUUAUACA